GGGCGUAAAGGGUGCGUAGGCUGACUUUUAAGUCAGGCGUGAAAUCCAAUGGCUUAACCAUUGAACUGCGCUUGAAACUGGGAGUCUAGAGUUCAGAAGGGGCAGAUGGAAUUAGUGGUGUAGGGGUAAAAUCCGUAGAUAUCACUAGGAAUAUCAAAAGCGAAGGCGAUCUGCUGGGAUGAUACUGACGCUGAGGCACGAAAGCGUGGGGAGCAAACAGGAUUAGAUACCCUGGUAGUCCACGCCCUAAACGAUGAAUGCUAGUCGUCGGGGAGCUCGUCUCUUCGGUGAUGCACUUAACAGAUUAAGCAUUCCGCCUGGGGAGUACGGUCGCAAGAUUAAAACUCAAAGGAAUAGACGGGGACCCGCACAAGUGGUGGAGCAUGUGGUUUAAUUCGAAGAUACACGAAGAACCUUACCUGGCCUUGACAUGGUAGGAACCCUUAAGAGAUUAGGGGGUGCUAGCUUGCUAGAACCUACACACAGGUGCUGCACGGCUGUCGUCAGCUCGUGUCGUGAGAUGUUGGGUUAAGUCCCGCAACGAGCGCAACCCUCGUCGUUAGUUGCUAACAGUUCGGCUGAGCACUCUAACGAGACUGCCUUCGUAAGGAGGA
rnacentral:rRNA from 1 species